rnacentral:rRNA from 1 species
CAAGUACAAAGAGAAGCAAGACCGUNAGGUGGAGCAAAACUCAAAAACUUGUCUCAGUUCGGAUUGUAGGCUGAAACUCGCCUACAUGAAGCUGGAGUUGCUAGUAAUCGCGAAUCAGCAUGUCGCGGUGAAUACGUUCCCGGGCCUUGUACACACCGCCCGUCACACCAUGAGAGCCGGGAACACCCGAAGCCCGUAGCCUAACUUUAACGAGGGGGCGCGGUCGAAGGUGGGUUUGGUAAUUGGGGUGAAGUCGUAACAAGGUAGC